GAAAGGGGAGGGAGAGAUAUAGAUGGUGCUUAGGAGAAAUGAAUGGGAGAUAUGCAAAAAUCAACGAUCAUCACGGAUUGUU